rnacentral:tRNA from 1 species
CAGCGGCUCGCCGGUGGUGGGCGACACAUACGUGUUGUCCGUCUCGUCGAACUCGAAGAGGGGCAGCAGUUCGACACAGUUGACGCCGA